CCUACGGGAGGCAGCAGUGGGGAAUAUUGCGCAAUGGGCGAAAGCCUGACGCAGCGACGCCGCGUGAGGGAUGAAGGUCUUCGGAUCGUAAACCUCUGUCCGCAGGGAAGAACGGUCACUGUGCUAAUCAGCAGUGACUUGACGGUACCUGCAAAGGACGCACCGGCUAACUCCGUGCCAGCAGCCGCGGUAAUACGGAGGGUGCGAGCGUUAAUCGGACUUACUGGGCGUAAAGCGCUCGUAGGCGGUAUGUCAAGUCAAGGGUGAAAUCCCCGCGCUCAACGUGGGAACUGCCUUUGAAACUUGUAAACUGGAGUGUGUGAGAGGAUAGUGGAAUUCCAGGUGUAGGAGUGAAAUCCGUAGAUAUCUGGAGGAACAUCAGUGGCGAAGGCGACUAUCUGGCACAUAACUGACGCUGAGGAGCGAAAGCGUGGGUAGCAAACAGGAUUAGAUACCCCUGUAGUC
rnacentral:rRNA from 1 species